CGCGCGCGUCAUAAAUGACCGUGUGAUCUACAUUGCGCAAUAUCGUAAUAAUAAUAAUAAUAAUAAUAAUACGCGUGUAUAAAUAUAUUUCAUUUGUGUUAUGUUGCGCGCGAAUGUGUCCCGAGUGUACCGAGCCGUUAGGUUAGGCACUCAAAACGCGUGCUCGCGCACCGCACACUGGUUUACAGGGCGAGCGUUUUUGUUUCUCUCGUAUCACCGGCCAGCGGCGCGGUUAUUGUUUGGUACCCGGCCGAAUGAGCGCGUAUCGGUUUCAUACUACCGUACGACCAUGUGCGCGGGUUUUUUUUUUGUUCCUUUUGUCUUACGACAAACGCUUCCGCCGGACACACGUCGUUCCGGGAACCCUAUCGCGGCGCUUUUCCGUCCAGCGGACGCAUCGAGUAGGCGGUUUUUUUCGUUUCCAAUAUUCCUCGUAGUUUUCUACGACAAACCGCGAAAACUGGCGAUUCUCGGUACAACUGUUGUCGAACAUUCUUGGCGACCGGGAAAAAAUGCACACGCACAAUAAUACCGGAAAUGCGGUUACGCCGAACGAGAAUAACCGCUGGUCCGCGAUAAAAAAUAAUCACCCUGUAUAUGUACGUAUAUAUGUAUGUAUACGAUACACUUUCGGCAGUGUUGUUAUUAUUAUCGUCGUCGUCGUUUCAACCGUUACAACUCCAUAAUAUAAUAUACAAUAAUGGCGUGUACUCUGCGAAGAGGUCGGGGUUCUAGACGUCCAUUAAGUAAUAGUGUAGUAUGUUGUUUGUUUUUUGAAAUAUUUCUAGUGCACGGGAAAACGGCUUUUAGGUUACUUACAUACGUAUAUAUAUAUAUACAACUACAAAACUGCACCGUAUAUUUUAUGGAAGACAGUGCGGAUUUUCCGCCCAGAACAGACCGGCUCCGGAACGUUUCCCGAACGACCCGGAACACCGAAUAGUUUUUCUAGCGUAUUUCAAACCACGGCCAAAGGGGGGCGUCAUUUUCGUUUAUUGAUUUCCGAUUUCGUUCGAUUACACGAAUAAAGACGAGCUUACAGUACGAUUGUACGUACUAUCUAAAUUGCAUAAAUCGUACCUUGCCCACGUUCCAGCCCGAAAUCGACUGCGCUCGUCCGCUGUGUGCUAAGCGAUGAGCAUAGCGAUACGAUGUUAACUACGGAUAUGACAAAGGUCUUUCUGCAGGCCUAAACGGCAAAAAAUCAUAGUCAAAAGAACCGGGAAACCAUCAUCGCCGUUUCGAGAUGUAAACCGUAGCCGUAAUAAAUGUUCUAUUUCGAAAGAAUAUUAUCGUACUUCCGUCUGACCGUUGGCAAAAUUUGGUGUAAAUUAAAAUGCCUGUUUACUGCACAUGGCAUCGUAUCAUGACCUAGUUGCGUGUAUUUGUUCCCUCUCCUCAACAUAUUUUCGUGAUUGUUGUAGGGAAUCGGUUAUUAUGACGACGGUGGCGGUGCAGAGUACACUACUGUACACACGAUGAACAUAAUAUCUCGUCCGCACUAUAAAUCUAAACGUACAUUGUAAACACUACAAAAAAAAAAUCAAAUCGUUUGAAACGUAAUAAUAUUUUUUUUCGUCGGACAGAGCACACUGGAUGCUGUCAUCGACUCAACGCGUACCUAUACCUAGCUAUAAGCGUUAUAGCGAAAAACCUUCUCCUAUAUUAUAAUAUUAUGUUAUAUUAUUCUUAUACUUAUACACAGCGCGCACGCAUAAACUUCCCGUCCGCCCGGUAAAAAGGUAUAAAUCGUGAGAACUCGGUUGCUAUAUAACAUAUUAUAAAAAGAUUUUAUCGUUCGACUCUGCGGGUUCGACAUGCGUUCGCAAAACAAUAUAAUCUCUGAUCCUUCUCGCGUCCGUCGUCCGCCUCCGUUCGCGUGGAUUAUAAUGUAACAACAGUAUCACUAUUCACUUGUGUACACUUUCGUCUGUUAAAACGGACACACAGUGAUUGACGAUGUCGAAAAUAGACGCGAUUCUCCGUGUUCGAUACCAUACAUGCCUACUGACAACGGUUUGACACGACUCGUGUUUAUAGUUGAAAAAAAGGUACAAAUCGUCGUGUGUCGCGUAUACUUCAGAGGCGAACUUGACCAAUUCGUGAAACGGGCAAUACUAGUAAUAUACCUACAAAUAUUAAAAAAAAAAAAAAAAAACGAACGGAUAGACUUCGCACCACGAGUGGUACCACUGUUGUAAGUCAGAAGUUGGGAAGACAGUAUAUAGAUGGAAAUUUAAUUUCUAUCUAUACGCAAAAAUGAAUCAUCGAAAAACUAUUCUGAGCGGAGUCAACAUUAUUGCUUUUUCAACAAAGCGUAUUUCCAUGAAAUUAACGAUUGUUUUAAAACGAUAAAAAGAUUAAAAAAAAUAAAAACUCAAUAACAAUAAAAAAUAUUCACGUAAAAAUGAUUGCCAAUGAAGACUUAAUUUUUAAUAUUUUUAACCAAAAACCCAGCGUUUCCUGAUUAUUUCGAAUAUUAAUAAUAAUUUCAAAAAAUGACCUUUCUAAUAGGUCAUGUUGUUAUUCUCGUCAUGUUUUUGUUGCAGCGAAAUUCCUAAGAAAAAUUUCGUACAUGGAAUUAGCAUGUUUUGAUUAUUCAUAAAAUAUGGCCAGUUUAAAACUUUUUUAGUUGCCAGUUCAUAAAAUGAACAGCAUUUUUGAAGUCCGAUACAUGGCAUGGGCAACUUUUUGCCCAUUCUAUGGAUUAAGCGAUUCGCUUGGUCAUUUCACGGGAUGAGCUAAAAAUUGGCAAUUUCAUAAAUUGGACACACAUUCAUCUAUGGAAUGUAAUAUAUACAUUAUAAUUUUAUAACUAUAGGACACGGAUGCACCGACAAACGCUCUAACAAUAACCAAAAAUACUCUGAAAAAAAACCUACACGAUUUAAAAUUAAAAUUCCAAAAUAACGUUUCGCUUUUGAAGUGGUGAAUUAUGUUAGGUGAAACGAAUUUUGAAAUUUUCCUAUAACAGCAAAAAAAAUCAUAAAACAAUCAUGACAAUGCGAAAUUCCGACAUCACAACGGUCGCGCUUUUUUUUAUCACUUUUUAAAACCAACACUAAUAUUUUCAUACAUAAUUAUAGUGGUUUUUUUUUUAUAGUUUUGCUAUUAUGAGGUCAACGCUACAAAACCAAUAUAAAUUGCCCAAUCUUCGCUCAAUUAAUCAAAUGCACAGCAAUCAACGUCAUACCUAUAUACACGGGUUAUGUUAGGACACAGACUCGUCUCAGUUGUUCCGCGUCGGUUUAAUAAUAAUUAUCGCCGAAUUUCCAAUUAGGUAUAAGCAUCGUCAAUAUAAUAUUGGACAACCGAUCCGCACACCCAAAUCGAUUUUGUGUUAUCGUUUAAGAGAAGGAGUACACGAUUGUUUGUUACUUUAUUAGCAAUAAUGGUCGAAAUCGUCUGAUUAAACGGACGACAUGACUAACGGUUUAAACCGAUAAAUUACAUCAGAACAUAAUAUUUAUAACUUCGGGAUUUUAAUUCGAUUAGAUUGCGCAAAGUCACUUCGCAUAAGUUUAUUCUAUCGGCGUAUCUAUAAUAAAAUUUACUACGAGCACGAAAAUAUUUUAAAAAACAGAUAAUUUUUUAUUUUUAGAAUUCAGGUAUGCGUUGUAAAUUUGAAAAUUCCACCUUAAAAAAAAAUUUGCAUUAGUCCAUAUGUUUUUUAUUUCCGUACAAUUGUCGUCACCGCGACGAUAAUAACCACAUUAAAUAUUAAAUGUUGAAAAUGUAUAAACUUGUACAUAAACCAAUACACUAUACUAUACAUACACUAAUUUUGUUAAUACGGAUCUUUUGUUUUAAAUCUUAUGAUUUGUCAAUAAUAUAUCGUAAUAAUUCAUUUUCAUUAUAAUUAUUAUUUAAGAUCAAAAUCAAUGAUGCUUCUUUAUCCACAAGUCUCUGGGAACUGUUUAUUUUCAUUUAUAUUUUAAAAAUGAAUAGGACCUAUAUUAUAAAUAUGUUUGCUGUUCAGAAUAUAAAAAAAAUAAUUAGUUAUUCAAUUUGAAUUUAAUUGUUGAAUGUUUAAAACAUUUUACCACCCAGCACUCGUACGAUUUAGACUAAAUAAAUUACAAUUAGAUGGAAUUAUGUAAAAAAAAAAUGUCUCUCUUUUAGGAAAAACAUAAGAUCGUUGAUGUGUCUUGUAGCAGAUCAUAAAGCAAAUUACCCAUCAUAUGGGCCCGAUCUUUAAGUUUAUCAAUUUAUAUAUCAACAAGUAUUUGUAAGUUUAUAAUACGAAAAGAACGAUGUGUAAUUUUGGAAAUGUUCGAAUGUGUCAUUUGUGAACAUGUCACUCCGAUAGUUUUCAUCUCGCAAAAUAAUACUUUGCUGGGGAAACUAUUGGUGCUUAGUUUCUUGCACGCAUCGCUUCACAACGGGAAUUUGUUAUGGUAUUGUUAUAGCAACUAUCGUUGCAGCGGUUGCAUUUUUUUGGGUCGCGAAAAUGUGUUUUUAUAUAGGAAAUGCGCCAAAAAUUAACCCUUCUACCCUCUUGAACCGAUAGGAUUUAAACGCGGGGACAGACACUGCAACAGCCCGACGAACUUUGCGCACGCUCGAACGUUAUCCGUCACGUCCGCACCAGAGAUAACAUUGUACUACAAUAAUCGAGAUGAUAAUAUUGUUUAGUUCGGGUCAUUCCUGCGAUUUCAAUAAUAAUAUACGGUGGUUGGCUGCAAUUAUGGACGGUUAGUUAACGUACAUACAGAAUCGCGUACUUCACUAGCGACUAUUAUACGCGCCCAAAAAUAUCUCGAAGAAAUAUUGAAAACAAAACGAUUCGUUACC